UAACGCUCGUAGUUUGUCCGAUAUACAUGUCACUAUUGAUAAGAGUUUGAUUCUGCCAUGACAGAAAAUGAUAUUGACCAGCAUGAUCAUUGCAGCUCUGACAACUGCUCCUCUGGCACAAGGGUUUUCAGAGUGUAAUCUAACUCAGCCUAGAUCCCAUAAGUGUUUUGGAAUAUUGGGACAACCACUCAGUUUUUACUUACCUACUAGUCUAAACACAAUGAUCGGAUUGAAGAAGAAUACGGAUAUUAUUUUAAGCUUAAAAAAUUACUCCUUACUAAAUAUAAAUGAAGAAUACAAGAGUCGUUCUACAUUCUUCACAAAUGGAACAUUUAUGCUCAGCAGUGCAACAAAAAAUGAUUCUGGAGAGUACACGAUGGAAAAACACUCAUCUAAUGGUUUGUCAUUGCACAAAAUAAUUGUAGAAUUGGACAUACUAGGUAAGACAACAAUUCCCAUUUUCUUCAUAUAAUAUAUGUGUAACAGCAAUAGUGCAUAUGAUAUGGAUUUACUGUAAAGGAGAAAAUAAACAAAUUUCAUUACAAAUGUCUUUAUGCAUGCUCACCGUUUUCAGUGGGAGAAACAUUUGAAAACGUUCCGUCCAGAUGAACAGAAUCAACCCUUUGGGGUACAUUACAAAUCCCCAUUCGUUUUAAAUGUUUUGUGCCUAGAUUAAAAAUGUUUGUUUUCAAGCAGUUUGUCUAAAAGUCAAAAUUUGCCACCUGCAUUUUCUUUAGUGAGUUUUCAAAGUCCCUGGAAGCAGAGUUUCUAUAGUAUUUUUAUAUCAAUUAUUUUGAUGUAAUACUACUCUUUAUUUUUUUUAUACACGUAAUAACUAGUUGCAUAGAUGACAUAUACAACUGCUGUGUUGCAUCUUUUACUGUAGACAGCUCUUAAACAUACUUUGUAAACUACAGUUAUGCAGUACAUUUAUCAACUAAUGUCUCUAAAGAAGUAAUUUGUUUAAUAGUUUCUAGUUCUUCUAGGCAACAGUUUCCAGUUGGCAUCACAUUUUUAAGUGACUAUAAAUUUUUUUUUCAGCCCCUGUGUCAGAACCAGCUAUAUCACAGACGUGUUUGUCACCAGAACAGAAGACAGUGAGCUGCUUCUCUGAAGGAGAUGAAGUAGAGUUCACGUUGUCGUUGCAUGAUAACUCAUUGAUACAGACCAGACCCAAGAAAACAGACAAACACAACGUUUUAAACAUUACCAUCAGCUUACAUGGUCAGCUGAUGGGAAUCUUGACAUGCAUUGUUCAAAACAAUGUCAGCAGAGAACAAAGAGUCAUCCGCCUUAGAAGCUGUACAGAUACAGUUUCUCACCUCUCUGUUGUGAAUGUGGUUGUGGUGACAAGCAUUUCCAUUCUACUUCUGGUUUUGGCCCUAUUUCUUGGUAUGAAAUGUUUCAAUAAGACAACUAACCCCAUCACCGUUAAUGAAGUUGAUGCAGAAGAGGAGGUAAUCUACUCAGAUGUCAGAGUGAAGCAACAAACAAAGAAAACAACAACCGCUUCACUUCAAAAUGCAAAUUAAUUUCCUAAUGAAACAUGAGAAAAUGAAAUUACAUAUAAUUUCUCUGUACAUAGCAAAUGCUUAAGGUUAAACCCUGGCUUCUCUCCUUUCCAUGCAAAAUAUCACUGGGUGGAAUGCUAACCCCAAGUUGCUCUGUGAUGCAUCGUAGUAUGAAUCUUGUGAAUGGAAAGUGCUGUGUGUGAAUGAGGCAACUUGUAUAAAGUGAUGUGAUAGAGUAGAAAAGUGCUAUAUAAGAACCAGCACAUUUACCUUGUUUUUGUUUGUUUGUUUUUGUUGUUGUUGCUUUUGUUAUUUUACUAUUUUUCCCUAUCUACAAUAGAAAUGUCUUUAA